UGCUUAAUGUAGUAUCAUUUAUGCUUGAAAAACAACGUUGAGACAUAAAAAACGAACGCAACACACCCAAACCUAUCCAAAACUAACCCGAGCCCCUCGGGACCCUGUUCAAAUAUACUAACAAGUCCCAUAUCAUAAGACGGACCUACUUGAGGCCUCAAAAUACACAUUAUAAUAUCGAAACGACGAAUCGCACAUCAAUUCGUAUUCAAUGAACUUAAAACUCCAAACUUCCACAACCGAUGCCGAAAUGUACCAAAUCACGUUCGAUUGACCUUAAAUUAUGCAUACAAGUCACAUUUGAUCUUAUGGACCUGCUCCAAUUUUUGAAAUCGAAAUCCGACCCGAUAUGAAAAAGUCCACUCCUUGUCAAAAUUUUCAAAAUUCCAACUUUUGCUACUUCAAGCAAAAUUCUACUACGACCUUCUAAUCACAAUCAGGAUCCCUCCUAAGUCCAAAUUCACCCAAUGGAGCUAAUGAACCAUCAAAAAUCGAAUAUGAGGUCAAACUAUAAAGAGUCAAAACUUUAAAAUUUAAAGCUUCUAGGUGAGAAUCAUUCUUCCAAAUCAAUUCCGAAUAACCUGAAAACAAAAAUCGACGAUUCACAUAAGUCAUAAUAUUUCAUACGGAGCUACUCAUGCCCUCAAAAAUCGAACGAAGUGCAAUUGCUCAAUAUAACUGGCUGGGUCAUUAUAAAUGUAAGUCAUACUAUUAAGUUUUAGAACGUCUCUAUCAACACAAGAUUUUUAUUGAAUCAUAUAAAACUAUUUCAAUCUCAUUAAGUCAUUAAAAUAAUUUUUGGCUCCUUAGGCCUAAACAUAAUAAAGUUCUCUUUUAUCUUCACCGGGAAUACAAUACUGAUACUGACAUAAUAAAUAACUACUAGGUGAUCAACCUACCAAUAAGUAUUUGACCGUACUUGUUUGAGUGGCUUCUCAUAGUUCUGUACGAGUCGACUAACCUCAUUACUUUGCGUAAUGUUCAUUUCCCUCUUAGCCUCGAAAGUGUCCCGAUACUAAUACGUGUAGUUCCAUGGUAACGAAUUCAACAUUCGAAUGAUCUCCAAAAUUAACUCCAAAAUAUAUAUCAAAAAUAGAUUGAUAGAAUAUUAUCCUCGGAGGAUUUAUUUUUAUCAAAUCAUGAUUUUUGUAGCCAAUUUAAAUCAACUGAAUAAAAUCAAAUAAAUAACGUUUUGUCAUAUUAAAUAUUUUAGCAAUAUAACAUCAAUCCAAAGAAACAACAAGUGCUUUCUUUGUUAAAAUUUUAAAAGAAAAACUUUUACAUGAAAAUAUAUCUUAGUACUCAAACAUUUUAUACUUUUAUCAAUAUAAACGUUUUCAGUAAACUAUAAUAUUUUACAAACAACAACUUGAGAAACACAUAAUAACAUCUCUCUCGCUUGUCCCCAGAAAUAUGGAAGCAUAUUUAAAAAUAAUUCAUUAUAUUAACUCAAAACAUGCUUUUAAAGAGAAUCACUCAAGAUGAGUAAAUCUUAAUCAACUUAUCGCAAACAUGAUGUUCCAUAAAUAUUACAAUAUUCUAAUUGAUUAAAAUGCUCAAAUAUCUCCAACAAAUCAAUAUCUAUUAUUAAGUAUUCUAACUUCAUCAAAAUAAAUCCUAAAAGAGUUGUAAAUAUCCAUUUAGGCUUCACAAGUUGGCAACAAGCCAUCAACCAUCCUAAAUUAUCAAAUAUGUUCAUCCAUUAGCCUAUUCAACUUUAUUUCAUUCAUUUAAUACCCAUUUGGAACCAUAAAUGAUACUACUUUAAUUAUCUAACAUCAUCAAGUCACUAUUCAUUGUCUUCUCCAAUAAAAUCCAGGUUCACGAAUAUCCAAUUGAAGAACUAGCGUUGAUUCUUAGAAAAAAGGUGACUUCAAUUCGUUCAUAAAUUAAGUUAACAAGUUUAUUGGACUUAUUAGAAACUCAAAGAAAUUCUAUUUAUAUCAAUUCAUCAUUAUUCACCGUCUUCUUUGCCCAUAAUAUCACUUUCAAGACCCACUCUUAAAGUUUCUAUAAUACUUUAUUAUAACUUCAUAAAUAUGCUACACAUACUUCAAUAUAUCGAAUAUAUGAGGCUCAAGUCAUCGGGUUACAUCUUGGUGGAAGAAUCUCACUUUUGCUCUUUUUGAAGAUUCAACCCAUUUUCUAUGAAUUUGAUCCAUAAUAAUGUUAGUGUUAUCACUAAAUGAUAUUAUAUAAUCAUCCUUGUAUUAAAAUAACUUACCUUGAAGUUUAUCCACGGUGGAAGAGCUUCUCCUUCUCUCUAGAAAUCAAUCUUAAG
rnacentral:lncRNA from 1 species